rnacentral:rRNA from 1 species
CCUACGGGAGGCAGCAGUGAGGAAUAUUGGUCAAUGGACGAGAGUCUGAACCAGCCAAGUAGCGUGAAGGAUGACUGCCCUAUGGGUUGUAAACUUCUUUUAUAUGGGAAUAAAAUGUUCCACGUGUGGGAUUUUGUAUGUACCAUAUGAAUAAGGAUCGGCUAACUCCGUGCCAGCAGCCGCGGUAAUACGGAGGAUCCGAGCGUUAUCCGGAUUUAUUGGGUUUAAAGGGAGCGUAGGCGGAUUGUUAAGUCAGUUGUGAAAGUUUGCGGCUCAACCGUAAAAUUGCAGUUGAAACUGGCAGUCUUGAGUACAGGAGAGGUGGGCGGAAUUCGUGGUGUAGCGGUGAAAUGCUUAGAUAUCACGAAGAACUCCGAUUGCGAAGGCAGUUCACUGGACUGCAACUGACACUGAGGCUCGAAAGUGUGGGUAUCAAACAGGAUUAGAUACCCCUGUAGUC